CAGUCGCCACGGGAAUACAGAGGGUGCAAGCGUUAAUCGGAAUUACUGGGCGUAAAGCGCGCGUAGGUGGUUUGUUAAGUUGGAUGUGAAAGCCCCGGGCUCAACCUGGGAACUGCAUCCAAAACUGGCAAGCUAGAGUACGGUAGAGGGUGGUGGAAUUUCCUGUGUAGCGGUGAAAUGCGUAGAUAUAGGAAGGAACACCAGUGGCGAAGGCGACCACCUGGACUGAUACUGACACUGAGGUGCGAAAGCGUGGGGAGCAAACAGGAUUAGAGACCCCUGUAGUCCCUGUCUCUUAUAC
rnacentral:rRNA from 1 species